AAACCCUUUAAAGUACUUCAGAGGUACCUGUUGACAUGCAGAAAACUAUUACUGCUAAUUAUAAAUAUUUGUAUAAUAAUGAGCGUUUACUCUUCUCUCAUUGUCUACAGGGUAACUCAAAGCAACACCGUUGUAGCCUACAUGAAAGCAAAGGAGAAUAUAGCCCCAGAAAGCUGACGGUGACAGUAGAAGAAUGGUAG
rnacentral:lncRNA from 1 species